rnacentral:rRNA from 1 species
GACAGAGGGUGCAAACGUUGUUCGGAAUUACUGGGCGUAAAGCGAGUGUAGGCGGUCUCGUAAGUCGGGUGUGAAAGCCCCGGGCUCAACCCGGGAAGUGCACUCGAAACUGCGAGGCUAGAGUAUCGGAGAGGUUGGUGGAAUUCUCGGUGUAGAGGUGAAAUUCGUAGAUAUCGAGAGGAACACCGGUGGCGAAGGCGGCCAACUGGACGAAUACUGACGCUGAGACGCGAAAGCGUGGGUAGCAAACAGG